UACGUAGGGUGCAAGCGUUGUCCGGAAUUAUUGGGCGUAAAGAGCUCGUAGGCGGUUUGUCGCGUCUGCUGUGAAAACUCAGGGCUUAACCCUGAGCCUGCAGUGGGUACGGGCAGACUAGAGUGUGGUAGGGGAGAUCGGAAUUCCUGGUGUAGCGGUGAAAUGCGCAGAUAUCAGGAGGAACACCGGUGGCGAAGGCGGCCAUCUGGACCGCAACUGACGCUGAGGCGCGAAAGCGUGGGGAGCAAACAGG
rnacentral:rRNA from 1 species